GAAGAAAUCGCAGUGAAAACGAAGAGAGAGAUAGACAGAUAGAAAGAAAGAGAGAGAGAGAGACAUCCAGAGGCAGGACUGAGCAGACUGAGAGAAGGCAACACUCCUCACCACCUUGGACAGACGGAGCAAUGCUUACAGUCUAACAGAAGCUCAUCACAUUUCUCCUCCAUCCCAGCCGAAGAAGACCACAGCUGUUCUAACAGGCUGAUAUACAACUGAAGAGGCAUCCAGACAUCUCUGCUUUGCUGACAUCCUA